UGCAGUUUGUUAACUUUUUUGAAAAAAGUCAUUAUAAAAUUUUAUUACAUAUUAAAAAUGUUCUUAAAAAUCUCAACUUGACUGGAUAUAAAACAUUUAAAAAUCUUUAAAGGCAUAUUCAGUGAAACCAAGCCUCCAUUCAUGGCAUUUAAAAAAAUAAUUAGUGAGCAGGAAUUGGUUUAUUUUCCAACUUUCCCACUGAUCUUCAAAUACGUCACUUUUGUUCAAAUAAUGCAAGGUUUCUAACAGUCCAAUUGUAAAGAUUUUUACUAAAGUGGAUUUGAAAUUUAGCCUCUAAUCUAUUGAGAAUGAUGAGGAUUUUGCUGGAACAAAGAUGACUAAUAAUUAUCAAGAACUGCAACAGCUAGGCUGAUGCAAUUGGCAACUCACCCACGUAUUUCCAAAAGCGGCCCACAUUUUAUAGAUGCGUGAUGUGAUACUAGCACCCUUCUCCUCAGGCUAAGCUGCCAGGGUCUUUUCUUUGACCCAGUUUGUUGACAGAUCAUUACUUUCAAGCAAACAAAUCCUUGUCCCUGUGUUUAGGAUGGGAAGUGAAUUGAGGAACAUAGUAUAUACAGGAUAUAUUGUCUCUCUUUUCAACUCUAGUUAUGUAGGAUUUUGUUUGUGGGGCAGAGCUACUUUAGAUCAGAAGCACCAGCACAGCUAAACCAGAUAUUAAGAUAGUGAAAUUGCUUUGUACUUGUUGGAACAUGGCUGCUAUCCUAUGCAAACACCUUCACCCCAUACUACCACUUCCUCUUCUCUGGUACACUCUUAGGACCCCUCCAAGACCUUUCCACAAUUUCUAACUAAAGGGAUAAUGCAUGGCAGAGUUGGGGCCCUUAGGACCCUCAUCAGGAGCUACUGCCAGCAUUUAUUCCAGUCGGGCAGCAUCCAUGCCCUAUUGAUUGCUAAAUAUUCUAAUAACAUACUUGAUCAAUAGGGACAUUUUUGAGCAUCUUUUGACCUCCUUUGUUUGCUCAUAGAGAGAUUCUGAUUGCUCAAUCUAUUUUUGUUAAAAAUAAGAAGUACAAGCAUUUGUAUAACAAUCUACCCUUUGUAGCUUCCCCAAUACAUUAGCUUAUUCAACAACUAUUCAUUUAGCCCUGCUAUGUUCCAAUCACUGUGAUAGGUAUUUACACAAAAGUAUAUGCACACAUCAUUUAUUCCUCAUGACAGUCCCUAACUUUGGGUGGUACUAUAAUAAAUUUCACCAAAAAUUACAAUAUUAGCAAUAUUAUAUAUUAUAUUCAUAUAUUAUUACUGUGCUAUAUUAUUAGUUAUAAUAAUUAUAAUCACUAAUAUAAUAAUUAUAUCACUAUAAUUAUAUUAUUACUAUAUAUUAUUCUGUAUGCUAGAUGACAGGCACUAUGCUAAACACAUAACAUGGAUUUGCCAAUUUGAUCUACAAAAAUGUCUUGAGAUAUAUUCUCUUUUCAUCCCCAUUAGAUGGACAAGUCAACUGGGACUGGAAAAGGUUAGGACACAUCCUUAAGGCUAAAGAGCUGUAGGAACAGGGCAAGGACUCUGAUCCAGGUUAUCCAAUUCCAACUUUUCCACUGUUUUCUCCAUUGUUCCAAGUUCCCUUGCAUUAGAAGUUGAUAUUGGCAGAAGUACUGAAUAACAGGGCUAUAGUAAUUUCUAAAUGGAUACAAGUAUCUUGAGUCCUGACUUUCAGUUUUGGCGUUGGCAUCUUAUAUUUUUCACAUUAGAAAAGUGACAAAUUCAUACCAAAAACCAACUGUUUUCUAAACGAAGCUCUGCUCCAAUUUCUCUUUGCUAAUUAUUCUGUUUAAAGGAUGGGCAUUUUGCUAGCCUUUGGAGACUCUUUCUGUGUUUUUCUUAUAAAUUUUAUUUAAGAUUUCUACAUUGAUAUAUCUUGCUAGGGAUAUUAUAGAGAAGAAGGGAAAGCUUGACCUGAUUCUGUCUCCUCUCCCAACUUUUCCCUACUCUUGUCCAGGGAGGAAUGCUAGACCAUAAGCUUUGAGGAGAGGGACUAUGUCUAUUUCACCGCAUCUCCAGCCACCAACCUAGUGCCUAGAACAUAAGAAAAUAAUAAAUAUUUUUUGAAUGCUGGAAUAAGUAUGGGUGGUGCUUUUUAAAUGUCUAUAAGAGAUACGAUUGUCAUAAGUAUGAUAACUGUAUGUUUUAGCUCCCACAACAUUCUGCCCACUCCAACCAGGUUAAAAAUCCACUAUAUAUGGUGUAUGACAUCUGGCACUUGGUUCUCUCUUCAUUCUUUUAUACAACAAACACUUACAAAAAAAUUCAUUCAUUUAUUUAACAGGUAUUUGCUGAGCACCUCCAUAUGCCAGGCAAUUUGCUAGAUUGUGGCACUACAGUGAUGAACAUGAAGGCUAGAGAAAGGCACCAGUCUC
rnacentral:lncRNA from 10 species